GAUGAACGCCGGCGGUGUGCCUAAUACAUGCAAGUCGAACGCGUUGGCCCAAUUGAUUGAUGGUGCUUGCACCUGAUUGAUUUUGGUCGCCAACGAGUGGCGGACGGGUGAGUAACACGUAGGUAACCUGCCCAGAAGCGGGGGACAACAUUUGGAAACAGAUGCUAAUACCGCAUAACAGCGUUGUUCGCAUGAACAACGCUUAAAAGAUGGCUUCUCGCUAUCACUUCUGGAUGGACCUGCGGUGCAUUAGCUUGUUGGUGGGGUAACGGCCUACCAAGGCGAUGAUGCAUAGCCGAGUUGAGAGACUGAUCGGCCACAAUGGGACUGAGACACGGCCCAUACUCCUACGGGAGGCAGCAGUAGGGAAUCUUCCACAAUGGGCGCAAGCCUGAUGGAGCAACACCGCGUGAGUGAAGAAGGGUUUCGGCUCGUAAAGCUCUGUUGUUAAAGAAGAACACGUAUGAGAGUAACUGUUCAUACGUUGACGGUAUUUAACCAGAAAGUCACGGCUAACUACGUGCCAGCAGCCGCGGUAAUACGUAGGUGGCAAGCGUUAUCCGGAUUUAUUGGGCGUAAAGAGAGUGCAGGCGGUUUUCUAAGUCUGAUGUGAAAGCCUUCGGCUUAACCGGAGAAGUGCAUCGGAAACUGGAUGACUUGAGUGCAGAAGAGGGUAGUGGAACUCCAUGUGUAGCGGUGGAAUGCGUAGAUAUAUGGAAGAACACCAGUGGCGAAGGCGGCUACCCUGGUCUGCAACUGACGCUGAGACUCGAAAGCAUGGGUAGCGAACAGGAUUAGAUACCCUGGUAGUCCAUGCCGUAAACGAUGAGUGCUAGGUGUUGGAGGGUUUCCGCCCUUCAGUGCCGGAGCUAACGCAUUAAGCACUCCGCCUGGGGAGUACGACCGCAAGGUUGAAACUCAAAGGAAUUGACGGGGGCCCGCACAAGCGGUGGAGCAUGUGGUUUAAUUCGAAGCUACGCGAAGAACCUUACCAGGUCUUGACAUCUUGCGCCAACCCUAGAGAUAGGGCGUUUCCUUCGGGAACGCAAUGACAGGUGGUGCAUAGUCGUCGUCAGCUCGUGUCGUGAGAUGUUGGGUUAAGUCCCGCAACGAGCGCAACCCUUGUUACUAGUUGCCAGCAUUAAGUUGGGCACUCUAGUGAGACUGCCGGUGACAAACCGGAGGAAGGUGGGGACGACGUCAGAUCAUCAUGCCCCUUAUGACCUGGGCUACACACGUGCUACAAUGGACGGUACAACGAGUCGCGAACUCGCGAGGGCAAGCAAAUCUCUUAAAACCGUUCUCAGUUCGGACUGCAGGCUGCAACUCGCCUGCACGAAGUCGGAAUCGCUAGUAAUCGCGGAUCAGCAUGCCGCGGUGAAUACGUUCCCGGGCCUUGUACACACCGCCCGUCACACCAUGAGAGUUUGUAACACCCAAAGUCGGUGGGGUAACCUUUUAGGAGCCAGCCGCCUAGGGUGGGACAGAUGAUUAGGGUG
rnacentral:rRNA from 1 species